rnacentral:rRNA from 1 species
CCUACGGGAGGCAGCAGUGAGGAAUAUUGGUCAAUGGACGAGAGUCUGAACCAGCCAAGUAGCGUGAAGGAUGACUGCCCUAUGGGUUGUAAACUUCUUUUAUAUGGGAAUAAAAUGUUCCACGUGUGGGAUUUUGUAUGUACCAUAUGAAUAAGGAUCGGCUAACUCCGUGCCAGCAGCCGCGGUAAUACGGAGGAUCCGAGCGUUAUCCGGAUUUAUUGGGUUUAAAUGGAGCGUAGGUGGAUUGUUAAGUCAGUUGUGAAAGUUUGCGGCUCAACCGUAAAAUUGCAGUUGAAACUGGCAGUCUUGAGUACAGUAGAGGUGGGCGGAAUUCGUGGUGUAGCGGUGAAAUGCUUAGAUAUCACGAAGAACUCCGAUUGCGAAGGCAGUUCACUGGACUGCAACUGACACUGAGGCUCGAAAGUGUGGGUAUCAAACAGGAUUAGAUACCCCAGUAGUC